CUAUCUAUCUGUCUGUCUGCCGUCUAUCUGCCGUCUAUCUGCUGAGCUGAACUGGGUGGGACAGUCCUUAACUGAUCUGAGAGAGCAGCUCUGAUGCUGCAUCAUGUCAGAACAUAUGACCCAGUCUCUGUGAGUAUUCAGCAUGCCCUGCGGAGUGACGGCUGGCAGCCGCAGCACACAGUCAAGAGGCAGGAGCUUGGCUUCCAUUGACCACCCUGAUGGGGCACUCUGCCCAGGGCAGUGGGUACUGGAAGGACUGGAAGAAGUAGAAGAUACUCCAGCCGAUGAUCACGUUGUAGUAAAGGCCCACGAAGCCACACACCUGGAGAGAGACAGGAGAGGACCUGAGCCCUAGGACCAUGCCUCAGGACUACCUGACA